CGACUGGCGACCGGCGCACGGGUGAGUAACACGUAUCCAACCUGCCUCAUACUCGGGGAUAGCCUUUCGAAAGAAAGAUUAAUAUCCGAUAGCAUAUAUUUCCCGCAUGGGUUUUAUAUUAAAGAAAUUCGGUAUGAGAUGGGGAUGCGUUCCAUUAGUUUGUUGGGGGGUAACGGCCCACCAAGACUACGAUGGAUAGGGGUUCUGAGAGGAAGGUCCCCCACAUUGGAACUGAGACACGGUCCAA
rnacentral:rRNA from 1 species